rnacentral:lncRNA from 1 species
CCUCAGGGUCAUUAGAUCAGUUUCAGUGUUCAAGUCCUCAGUCCCCAAGAAAGUAGAAAAGACAGACUCUAGGGAAUUAGGGUGCUGGGACACAUGAAACAGAGCAACUGUCCUUAUUGGAUUUAUUAGCCUGUGUGUCCCUGGGGGCCUUUUUUACAGCAGAGACCCAGACAGGGGACAGCCACGUGGCAUGACAGCAGGGUCUGAUUCUUAGCCCUCACUCCCUCUCUCAGCCCUUCUGUGGACCACCCAGGUGGGACCCACCUUUCACCAACUCCUUCCUUCCCCAGGUAGCUCCUCCAGUACAUCAGCUGCUACGACCAGGUGCCUGGAACACAAGUGCCACCUCUGCUGGCCCCACUCUGGACUUUUUGGUUGGAAUCAGUUCUGAAAUGGCAGGGGACUGGCAUCAGCCAGUCCUCAGAAGACAUUCCUGAGCACUGAGUUGUCGUUACUGAAUGAAGAUAAUGUCACUGGAUUUGCUCAGGGCUCUCAAAGCAAGAUACACAGUGUCAUCAGCGGGCUCUGGAAGGUGGGCAGCGCUGCCUCAUUGUGGAAGUCCUCCCGAGGCUCUCUUCCCUGUUUGCUAUUGAGCUGUUCUCCCCUCUUCUGGCCCCUGGACCUCUCCAUAUUUCUCAAUCCCAUCUGCUUUAGUAGCUAUGGAAAUUCUGUGUGCAUUUGCUGUCUUCUUGCCGAUACGUUUUCCUUCUCUGUCACUUUCACUUUUCAUUUUCAAAUGAAAAUAAAAGUAUUUGUUUUGUGGGGUGUGGGGAUCUAGGGGCAUGUGUGUCGUGGUGCAUAUGUGGAGGUCAGAGCAACUGGCAGGGUCAGUUCUUUCCUUCUACCAUGUGCGUCCCAGGGGGCGGAUUGAACUCCGGUUGUCAAACUUGACAGCAAGUGCUAUCUCACUGACCCUCUUUCAAGUUUUUGUUUUAAGAAAAUGUCUCUUUCUGAAGCUCGGGCAUGCCUUGAACUCUGGUGAUCCCCCUGCCUCAGCCUCUUUAGUUCUGGGAUUUUAGGCAUGGGCCACUACACUCAGUUCUGUAUCGUUUUCAUACCAAAAUGAUAGCUGCUUGGAUUCUGUCUCCCACUUCUUCCCACACACCACUCCCCCAAUGCUGGAUCAGGUUUCUGUCUCUGAAGCUGGACUGCAGUCACCUCUUCUUGCGCUGAUCAGCCCUGUUCACAUUAAUAAAGCUUCUGGUCUUCCAGAUCUCUUCCCAGCUCUCAGUAGCACUGGGCACAUAUGGCUGACUUCCUCCUCCUCCUUAAAACUUUAUGUGCUUUCCAGCCUUCCUUGUGUGUGUGUGUGAGUGUGUGCUAGGGACUGAACCUAGGGCAAGUGCUCUAGCCCUGAGCCACACCCCAGCCCCUCACUGGGGGCUUCUAAGCAGGUACUAUACACUGAGCCAUACACCCCACCAACACUUCUUUUGCCCUGUGAGAGGGUCUGGCUUUCUGCCUACACCCAGGCCACUCCCUCUCAUAGAGAUGAUUUAGAAUUUUCCAAAUUUCUGACCGGAGUCAUAACUCUAUCCACAUCACCCUUCAAAGUUAUCCCGUUCCGUGGCAUUAAAUGUCUUCUGAAUGCUGAUGUUACUAAAACUUGUAUUUUCAACCCUGACCUCGUCACCACUCCCAUCAUCAUUAACUGGUUACCUGAUACCCUGACUUGGAUUUCCAGAGGCAUCACCAACUGGGCAUGUCCAAAAAAGAACCCUUGAUCCCUCCCUCCUAGCUAAAGUCUAUUCAGUACACAACGGUGCAGCUUCAACUCAGAUUCCUAGCUCUCAUACAAGCUGUAAAAUUCCAUACCUCUAAUGCUCAUUCCCCCUUUGAUUUUGUUUGUUUGUUUUUGAUAAAGGGUCUCAUGAGCUCCUGAUCUUCUUGCCUCCAUUUCCCUAAUACUGUUUAUAGACAUGAGCUGCCAUGCCUUUUAUGCAGUGGUGGGAUACAACCAGGGGUCUCCUGCAUACUGGGAAAGUACUCUGCCCAGUGAGCUACAUUCCUAGGUCCUCCAGUUUUGUUUUGGGAGACAGUCUCAUGUAGCCAAGGAUGUCCUUGAACUCCUGAUCCUCUUGUCUCCAUCUACAGACAUUCACCACGCCCCACCCAACCCACUUUCACAGUAACAAGAUUCUGGGGUUUUUUGUUUUGUUUUAAAUAAAACUAUGAACCCAGCAUGCUUGUGCUUAAAGCUCUCCAGGUGUUUCCCGUCAGAGAGGGAAGAGAUGGAAGACAGUACGAUCCACCUAUCACCACCCCGCCCCGCCCCCCAAGGCUCCAAGGGCCCCUCAGUCUUUGAGGUUUGUGUGUAUCUUACUCAUCCUUGUUCAUACCUCUCAUCUCAGCUUAUUUUGAAUGGCUUUGGCCUGUCACUGGUUACCUUGUUCUCUGUAGCUUUAGUAGUCGGUUGAGAAAGUCUCACCGUGCAGCCAGGGUGGCCUAUUUCAGCUUAUGGAGCUCUGGGGUCUUUGUGUAUGCACCAGCACUCUUAACUCCUGCUUUUGUUUGUUUUUUUUGUUUUGUUUUCCCAUGUUUUAUUUAUUUUAUAAAAAUAUCCCAUGAAUCUCAGACUCGCUUCAAAUUUCUUGUGGCCAAAAAUGACCUUGAAUUUUUGAUCCUCCUGCCUCCAGCUCCCAACUGCUGGGUUCCCACAUGUCCAGGCACCACCACACAGAGUUUAUGAGUGUGGGUCUGGAUUGUUAGGCUUUGGGGAAGUGAUUAGAUCCUGAAGACUCAAUCAAGGGGUUAGUCCUUUCAUGGAUUCGAAUGGUGGGUUUAUCAGGGGGUAGAGGUGAAAAUAGAGGGUCGAAUUAAAGUUACUUGGAGUGCCUUGGGAGGCUAUCUGGGCUGCCUGUAUAGCCUGAGGUGAGGAGUCUCUUCAGUUCAGAUGAUCUAGGACAAACUUGCUGCUUUUGUUCUUUUUUGUACAAGUUAUUGAUUCUAGCUCCUCACACAGGGUAGGCAACUGCUCUUAUCAUGGAGCCAUGCUCCUGGCCCCACAGGGAGGAUUCUAGGUCUCUAUCACUGAGCCACACUCCCAGUCCCUCACUAGAGGAUUCUAGGUCUCUAUCACUGAGCCACACUCCCAGCCCUUCACUAGAGGAUUCUAGGGCUCUACCACUGAGCCACACUCCCAGCCCCUCACUAGAGGAUUCUAGGGCUCUACCACUGAGCCACACUCCCAGCCCCUCACUAGAGGAUUCUAGGGCUCUACCACUGAGCCACACUCCCAGCCCCUCACUAGAGGAUUCUAGGGCUCUACCACUGAGCCACACUCCCAGCCCCUCACUAGAGGAUUCUAGGGCUCUACCACUGAGCCACACUCCCAGCCCCUCACUAGAGGAUUCUAGGGCUCUACCACUGAGCCACACUCCCAGCCCCUCACUAGAGGAUUCUAGGGCUCUACCACUGAGCCACACUCCCAGCCCUUCAUUAGGGGAUUCUAGGCAGCUGCUCUACCACAGGUUUACAUCCUCAACCCUCAUAUUGCUUUUUCUUUGGAAACGUCUCACCGAGCUAGCCUUGAACUCAGGAAGCAGGAACUCCCCCCCUCCCCCAGCUCUCUGAGGUCUGCACCACCAGAGCUAGAUGGAAAACAAUUUUCUCUUGUAAUUUUGUGUGCAAGUCCCGUGUGUGAGAGAAGGGUGAGGAUAGAAAGAGAGGAGAAAAAGCGCAUGCACUUGUAUAGGAGGUCUAUCCAUGGAGAUCAUAAGACAGUGUUGGAUCCCCUGGGUCUGGAGUUAUAGGCCACGUGAUGUGGCCUCUGGGAUCUGAACUCUGGUCCUCGGACAGAGCCACCUCUCCAGCCCAAUGUUUCUCUAAUAUUAAAAUAAAAGAUAAGGUGUGGCGAUACAACUUUAAUCCCAGGUCUCAGGAGGUAGAGGCAGGCCUAUGUGAGUUCCAGGCCAGCCUGGUCUACACAGAGACACACUGUCUCAAAUAAAAAUUGAAGAAGACAAUAGACCAUUCUGCCAUACCUCAUAAUCUUACCUGCCUCUGUCUUUGUGAGGUUUAGGUUUCCUGUUCCUGUCUUGUGUCUUUGCAAGGCCUUACCUUUGAUUGACAAGCUUUCCAGCCGCUGUUUUAGUUUUUCUCUCUCCUCCCUCAGGAUUACCUUUGCCUGAUUUUGAUCUCUUUUGCGGUCCCUCCUCAACCCCACCAUCUCAGUCUUCCUCCCUACACUAGGCCCUUCCCAGUGCCACUCAUUUAUCUUCCUUUCCCCACAUCCCAGCAUCUUUUCUUGAAUGGCCCUCACAGAUUUCCUCCAUGGCUCCUGACUCAGCCUCCCCACUGUCCAUUUCCCUCUCUUCUCUCAACAGUGUUGAACAUAGGCUGGCCUCAGUCUCAGUGUAUAGCUGAGGAUGCCUUGGACUUCAGUCCUCCAGCUAGCACCUCCCAAGUGCAGGGAUUCCAAGCACUCAUUAGCAUGUCUAGUUUAUACAAUGCUAAGGAUUGAACCCAGGGCUUUGUGAACUCUGGACGAGCGCUCUCCCGACUAAGCUAUAUUCACAGCUUUCUCUGCAUUUCAGAGUCAGCUUGAUAGUUGGGGUUAGCCUUAGAUUUACAGUCUUCCUGCCUCAGCUUCACAAGCACUCAUAAGAUUAUGCACCACUCGUGAGGGCUCCUGCAAGCACAUGCUGUCCCACACUGCCACUACUGCUACUAAUACAAUACUAAUAACUUCUUCCCUCCUGUCCUCUGAGACUGUCUUGCUUUCUUUCCUCUUGGAGGUCAUUUAAGGCAGGGCAGAUAGGACAGCAUGUCUAAUCUCCAGAAUAACUGAUGUGUAGAC